rnacentral:misc_RNA from 1 species
GAUGAAGAACGUAGCGAAAUGCGAUACGUAAUGUGAAUUGCAGAAUUCAGUGAAUCAUCGAAUCUUUGAACGCAUAUUGCGCUCUCUGGUAUUCCGGAGAGCAUGCUUGUUUGAGUAUCAGUAAACACCUCAACUCCCUUUUCUUUUUUGAAAUGGGAGCUGGACUUGAGUGAUCCCAACACUUUUCUCACUGGAAAGUGGCGGGUCACUUGAAAUGCAGGUGCAGCUGGACUUUUCUCUGAGCUAUAAGCAUAUCUAUUUAGUCUGCCUAAAAAACAGAUUAUUACCUUUGCUGCAGCUAACAUAAAGGAGAUGAGUUCUUGUGCUGACUGAUGCAGGAUUCACAGAGACAGCUUUGCGGCUGACUUUGUAAACUCGAUCUCAAAUCAAGUAAGACUACCCGCUGAUCUUAAGCAUAUCAAUAAGCGGAGGA